rnacentral:rRNA from 1 species
AACGCGAAAAACCUUACCUACCCUUGACAUGUACGGAAUGCCGAAGAGAUUUGGCAGUGCUCGAAAGAGAACCGUAACACAGGUGCUGCAUGGCUGUCGUCAGCUCGUGUCGUGAGAUGUUGGGUUAAGUCCCGCAACGAGCGCAACCCUUGUCAUUAGUUGCUACAUUCAGUUGAGCACUCUAAUGAGACUGCCGGUGACAAACCGGAGGAAGGUGGGGAUGACGUCAAGUCCUCAUGGCCCUUAUGGGUAGGGCUUCACACGUCAUACAAUGGUACAUACAGAGGGCCGCCAACCCGCGAGGGGGAGCUAAUCCCAGAAAGUGUAUCGUAGUCCGGAUCGUAGUCUGCAACUCGACUACGUGAAGUUGGAAUCGCUAGUAAUCGCGGGAUCAGCAUGCC